UACGAAGGGUGCAAACGUUGCUCGGAAUUAUUGGGCGUAAAGCGCACGUAGCUGUGCCGCAAGUCAGGGGUGAAAUCCCAGAGCUCAACUCUGGAACUGCCUUUGAAAACUGCGGUGCUAGAAUCUCAGAGGGGGUAGCGGAAUUCCAAAUGUAGGGGUGAAAUCCGUAGAUAUUUGGAGGAACACCGGUGGCGAAGGCGGCUACCUGGAUGAGUAUUGACGCUGAGGUGCGAAAGCGUGGGGAUCAAACAGG
rnacentral:rRNA from 1 species